CUUUAGAUAUGAUCCAGAGUACCACGGGACACGUGAAACCCUGUGGGAAGCAGGAGGGACCACCCUCCAAGGCUAAAUACUACCUAGUGACCGAUAGCGUAUAGUACCGUGAGGGAAAGGUGAAAAGAACCCCGGGAGGGGAGUGAAAUAGAACCUGAAACCCUGCACUUACAAGCUGUGGAAGCACAUUUCUUGUGUGACCGCGUACUUUUUGUAGAACGGGCCAACGAGUUACGUUAAGUAGCAAGGUUAAGCACUUAAGGUGUGGAGCCGUAGCGAAAGCGAGUUUUAACUGAGCGUUCAGUUACUUGACGUAGACCCGAAACCGGGCGACCUACCCAUGAGCAGGAUGAAGCGAAAGUAAAAUUUCGUGGAGGUCCGAACCCACGAGCGUUGAAAAGCUCGGGGAUGACUUGUGGGUAGCGGUGAAAUUCCAAUCGAGCCCGGAGAUAGCUGGUUCUCCCCGAAAUAGCUUUAGGGCUAGCCUCAAGGUGAGAGAUACGGAGGUAGAGCACUGAAUGUCCUAGGGGGUAUUGCACCUACCGAAGACUAUCAAACUCCGAAUGCCGUCAUCUUAUACUUGGGAGUCAGACUGUGGGUGAUAAGAUUCAUAGUCGAAAGGGCAACAGCCCAGAUCGUCAGCUAAGGUCCCUAAAUGUAAGUUAAGUGGUAAAGGAUGUGGGAUUGCACAGACAACCAGGAUGUUGGCUUAGAAGCAGCCACUCAUUCAAAGAG
rnacentral:rRNA from 1 species